CUUGGCCUGAUUAACAGACCUACUUUAUGUACGACAUAUUGAGUUAAUGAGUUAUGUGUAAGUGCUAUCUUCGGUAGCCUUUGUUGACCGUUUCCUUCUUAGUGCCUCCAUAAGUAAUAGCUGAUACUGGCCAACACAUGCCCGAGGUGGCGAAAUUUUUUUGAUAUAUAGGAAAGUCAAAUGUCUGACAAAAUGAAAGGUCAAGUGAAGUGGUUCAACGAGUCUAAAGGCUUUGGUUUCAUCACUCCAGCUGAUGGUAGCAAAGACGUGUUCGUUCACUUCUCUGCCAUUCAGGGUAACGGUUUCAAAACUCUGGGUGAAGGCCAGAACGUAGAAUUCACCAUCGAGAAUGGUGCCAAAGGCCCAGCAGCUGCAAACGUAACUGCUAUCUAAUUUAGCCUUUCUGCCUUAUUUAAGCUCGCCGGGAUAAAAUACAAUGGCGGGCUUUUU
rfam:Xenorhabdus szentirmaii DSM 16338, WGS project CBXF01000000 data, contig: XENSZ_2115_Contig_7